GACGAACGGCUGGCGGCGUGCCUAAACAUGCAAGUCGAGCGGAGUCGAUCGACGGAAGCCUUCGGGCGGAAGAUGGUUGACUUAGCGGCGGAUGGGUGAGUAACGCGUGGGCAACCUGCCUCGAAGACCGGGAUAACAGCCCGAAAGGGCUGCUAAUACCGGAUGUGGUCAAGGAUCCGCAUGGAUUUUGAUUAAAGGGGAAACCCGUUUCGAGAUGGGCCCGCGUCCUAUCAGCUAGUUGGUGAGGUAAAAGCUCACCAAGGCGACGACGGGUAGCCGGCCUGAGAGGGUGACCGGCCACACUGGAACUGAGACACGGUCCAGACUCCUACGGGGGGCAGCAGUGGGGAAUCUUCCACAAUGGGCGAAAGCCUGAUGGAGCGACGCCGCGUGAGCGAAGAAGGCCUUCGGGUUGUAAAGCUCUGUCUGGAGGGACGAAGGAAGUGACGGUACCUCCGGAGGAAGCCACGGCUAACUACGUG
rnacentral:rRNA from 1 species